UCUAGACCACUAAUAUGUUAUCAAUUGAAUUUGUUAAUGUUGUUUAAAUAGCUUUCUUAUAUUUAGUUACGUGGCAUUUGCUUUUCACCUGGUUUAUGGAAGUCAACAUAAGCUAAGUGAUGAUAAAUGUUAAAUACAGCAUUGGCUAGCAUAUCAUAAUACGAGCUAAUGGUAAUAAAAGUGGUUGGUUUAAUAGAAGACUAAUAAACAACAAAGAGGUUUUGGCUCCUACAACCCGAAAAACAAAGAUAAUUGAUGCAAAAGACGUUUGAUGUCCUGCAUCCCUACUCCUUGACCGGAUUUAUUAAAUUUCUCUCAUUUCUGAUCCUUAGUCUGUGAAGAUGAAGCACCUUCACUUGUUAACUUAAAGCAUCUGAAUAUUGGGUGAAGGAAGUUCAAAUAAGAGCUGAACUUUUCUGCUCAACAGAGAACCACGAGAAAGAGUGACAGAGGAAAAUGAAAUUUUCACCACUUUGCUUUUUGGUAGUUCCAUUGUAGUUCAUCACUUUAUGGUAGAGUUUCUUCCUCCAUUGGGAAAAAAAGGUUGUCUUACAUGGUGCUAUCCUCGUUUCACCUUUGGCCGGAAUGUGGAUAUUAUUGACCAAGGAAGAACAUCUCCUACAAUUGCACGUUUGAUUUUUUUUUGCCCUCGGAUGUUUUGGGUUGGAAAGCUUAUAUACAUUACGGAUUCAGAAGCAAACUAAGAGCCCUCUAUAACUUACCAGAAGAACCAUGUUCGGAUUGUUGCGUUCACUAUUGUUGUUUACUUUGUGCUAUUUGUCAAGAGUACAGAGAACUUAAAAACUGUGGACUGGACCCCUCACAAGGUCACAUCUAAUUGGAAAAUACCUUUGGCUGUUGCAACAUUCAUUUUGGCAAGUAACUUUUUGUUCUCCAAUAGUUACCACAGUAUUUGAAACUUUUUGUUGUGCAACUAUUUGUUCAUUUUCUCAUUCAAUUUUAAGAUAUAUUUUCUAACUACCAAGUAGGUGCGAAGACUGUCAGCAUGUGAAACUAUGGGUUCUGCUACAACAAUUUGCAAUGAUAAUACUAGAACUUUGACCUUAAAUCAGGUGGGUUCUUUGGCCAGAGAAUUAAAUAGUCCAUAAUUUAUAUUAAUGCAUCUGAAUGGAAGCUCCAAUAGUUAUCUAAUUGAUGCAACUCGUUGGUACUUGGUUCAUUGGAAAGGAGCUGCGGAGAUUAUUUUAGGAACUUGUACUCAAUAUGUUGAUUCUGAUGGUACCUUGAAAUCUAUUGAAGAAGAAAAGGCAAGGAACAACUUCAUGUGAU